UACAUGAAUCUGACGCUCAACUGGGAAAAAAGGCUAUAGAAACUUCUGAGUAUCUGAUUCUGAUGGAAUCUCUAAAAGAGGAGCUUUCAAGGAAGACCGCCGAACAGACCAGCGAGAUUGAUCAGCUGACAAAGGAGAAUGAAGAUCUGAAGGACAAAAUUUCUGGAUUGGAGAAAACACUGUCAGAGAGAGAGGACCAAUCCUCUUCUCUAGAAAAGAAACUUGAAGAGGCCUCAAUUGAAGCAUCAGCUUUGAUUGAUGCUUCUGCAAUUGAAAUGAACAAAUUGCAACAGGAGUUGGAAUCCUUGCAUGCUGAGAAUCUGAAAUUGCAAGUAGAGAACGAAGGCCGCGUUAAACUGGGUAAGGAUCUAGAAUUGCAAGUAGACAUGGUGCAAACCAAGAUAAAAGAACUUGAGGACCAACUACUGGAACAAACAAACGAAAUUGAUCAGUUGAGAAAGGAGAAUGAUGACCUGAAGGACAAAAUUUCUGGAUUGGAGAAAACAUCGUCAGAGAGAGAGGACCAGUACUCUGCUCUAGAAAAGAAACUUGAAGAGGCAUCAAUUGAAGCAUCAGCUCUGCUUGAUGCUUCUGCAAUUGAAAUAAACAAAUUGCAACAGGAUUUGGAAUCCUUGCAUGCUGAGAAAAGCCAGUUGGAGUUGUUGGCUGAAAAAGAUAAACAAG
rnacentral:lncRNA from 1 species